rnacentral:sRNA from 1 species
UGUUAUUUUAUCUAAUGCCAUUGGUGGAACAUUCGAACAUUUGGAAAAUUUAUUUUCAACUCGCGUCGUCGGCAACUGACUAAGCGUAGUUGGCAAAACGCAAUACAGAAGCCAGAUAUGACGGUUCAAUGGUAUAAAUAAUCUUAUGGAUCAUUUGCAACGAGCGUAUCUUAAGCUCAUUUGGACCAAGACAUUAAUGGCAUUAUCAUUUAUAAUGUUAUAUUACAUGGACAAAAAUUGACAACAACAACUAAA